rnacentral:lncRNA from 1 species
AGCAAGUUCUGGCCAAGCGCUCACCAUUCUGCAGAAUAAGGAUCAGAACUUUACUGAGGUAAACUGGGUCUGUUCUUUUUACUUUUGCAGUUCAUCGUGGCCCUGUCGUUCGCCUACUUCACCAAAGCUCUGUCAGGGACCUACAUGAAGAGUGCCAUCACUCAGAGAGACACUUUGACCUGUCCGGCUCUCUCAUCGGACUCAUAGACGGCAGCUUUGAGAUGGGUAUCAACAAUAACAAUGAGUUGCUUGAGAAUUCAUGUAGUAAAAACUAGAUACACAAUACAGUAUGAUCCGUUUUUUUUGUGGUUCAGAGUCUGCUCUCAAUACUGUCCAGUUUUAUAGUUGUUCCUAUUAAUUGAUUGACUGGCGUUUGUCCAUGACUCUACUGUCAAACCCCUAACAUUGUUUUAUGUGCUGCUAUGUUGUUGCAGCCUAGUAUCCAAACUGAUAUGCCAUUUUUUGUUUAAAAAAAAAAAAAAUGCGCAUGGGUGCAGUUUCUUGUCCUCCUCGUUCCGCUGUGAAAGUACCGCACCAGCUCCGGUUUCCGAGGCGUCCACCUCUACCACAAAGGGACGAGUAGGAUCAGGAUGAACGAGGAAUGGGUUCGGAGGUGAAACGUCCCUUGAGCUCUAUGAAUGCCCUGUCAGCCUCGGGAUUCCAGCAAAAAACAGCUUGAGUGAGGUGGGACAGGGCCUUAUGUGUUCCGGAAGGGUUUUUGGAGAAGAUCAGGAUAUCGUCGAGGUAAACAAAGACGAACCGAUUCAACAUAUCCCUAAGAGUGUCAUUGAUCAAUGCUUGAAAGACUGCCGAUUUUAAGCGUUGCGGAGGUCCAGUUUGGUGAAGAAUUGGGCUCCUAGGGCCAACUCCAAGGCGGCGGACAUCGGGUUUGUUGAACAUGAGUGGAAAUGAAACUCCAGCACACUGGUAGCACUAAAGACGUUUGAGUAUAACUUCUCCAGGUGAGUUGAAGCUGCCUGUGCGUGCGGCGGGGAUAUUCCUGGGAGGUCUACUGACGAAGAGGUAUAAGCUUGGCGUUAUGUCUGGAGCCCAGCUGUCUUUCGUCACCUCCUUCAUGGCCUACCUCCUCCUCCCUCUGCAGUCUGGCACUAAGUGUGACAACGUUAAGGUGGCUUGUCUGACCGUGUCCCACAACGGGUCCCCUGGUGUACGAUGGCAGCCUGUUGUCAGAGUGUAACAGAGACUGCUCCUGCUUGGCUGGGGAGUGGGACCCUGUGUGUUCAGACAACGGCAUCACCUACACCUCCCCCUGCCUCGCAGGCUGCUCCAGCUUUACAGUUGUGUCAAGUUGGCUGUAUGUCUUUUGAGUGGUGGACCAUUCUUGAUACACACGGGAAACUGUUCAGCAUAAAAAAACACAGCAGCGUUGCAGUUCUUGACACAAACUGGUACCCCUGGCACCUAUUACCAUGCCCCGUUGAAAGAGUGAUCUUCCUUGGACUCAUCACAUGUCUCAGUGGCUCCUCCUUAGGAGGGAGGGGGACAGCCCCCACACUCAUCACUAGAGAUCGAACUUCAGACUCCCUCCAAAACCACUGAACCCCUCAACACACCGAAAGAGAUUAAGGUGCACACCCGUAGAGGGAGCCGGAACAGGAUAACUCCCUCCAAACUCACAAAGACACAGAGGAGGAGGAACUAUCCAACACCCAGGGAGAGAGAACGAGUGACCUCAGUCGAACACAGUCAGAAAGAGGAGGUGGAAGAGGCGUUAGAUAGAGGAGGUUACCCCAGAGGCCAUUCCUCCUGUUAAUGUGACCAAGAAAGAGCAGAAGGCUUCUGAUCAGCCAAAUGGCAGGCAGAGGGAGAGGUCAUAGUGAUUCACACCCACAGAGAGAAAGACAACCCACACAACCUCUUAGUUGAGAUGAACCACACAGAGGUAGAGGCAGAGGGCCUUCAGGGCUAGCCAGUCAGCCUGCCUGCUCUGAUCCUCAAGUCAAUUGUAUUUAAAUUCAUGUUCAUUAAAGUUUUUUUAUUCAAGAAUUGAAAAGUCCCAUUUACUUAAUGAUCAUUUUUCACCAGCUUCAACCCUCAAGAAUCAGG